rnacentral:rRNA from 1 species
AUGAAGACCUUACUCAUCCUGACAAUCCUUGCGAUGGCAAUAACCAUCGCCACCGCCAAUAUGCAGGCCGACCCUAGCGGCCAAGUACAAUGGCCGCAACAACAACCAUUCCUGCAGCCUCACCAACCAUUCUCCCAGCAACCACAACAAAUAUUUCCCCAACCCCAACAAACAUUCCCCCAUCAACCACAACAACAAUUUCCCCAGCCUCAGCAACCACAACAACAAUUUCUCCAGCCCCGACAACCAUUCCCCCAACAACCACAACAACCAUAUCCCCAGCAACCACAACAACCGUUCCCCCAGACUCAACAACCCCAACAACCAUUUCCCCAGUCCAAGCAACCACAACAACCUUUUCCCCAGCCCCAACAACCGCAACAAUCAUUCCCCCAACAACAACCAUCGUUGAUUCAACAAUCUCUACAACAACAGUUGAACCCAUGCAAGAAUUUCCUCUUGCAGCAAUGCAAACCUGUGUCCUUGGUGUCAUCCCUCUGGUCAAUCAUCUUGCCACCAAGCGAUUGCCAGGUGAUGCGGCAACAAUGUUGUCAACAACUAGCACAAAUUCCUCAGCAACUCCAGUGUGCAGCCAUCCAUAGCGUCGUGCAUUCCAUCAUCAUGCAGCAAGAACAACAAGAACAACUACAGGGUGUGCAAAUCCUGGUGCCACUGUCUCAACAGCAACAGGUGGGUCAAGGUAUUCUCGUCCAGGGUCAAGGCAUCAUCCAACCUCAACAACCAGCUCAAUUGGAGGUGAUCAGGUCAUUGGUGUUGCAAACUCUUCCAACCAUGUGCAACGUGUAUGUCCCACCUUACUGCUCCACCAUCAGGGCACCAUUUGCUAGCAUAGUCGCCAGCAUUGGUGGCCAAUGA